rnacentral:rRNA from 1 species
UACAGAGGUCUCAAGCGUUGUUCGGAUUCAUUGGGCGUAAAGGGUGUGUAGGUGGCGCGCUAAGUCGGGUGUGAAAUUUCGGGAGCUUAACUCCGAAACUGCAUUCGAUACUGCGUGCUUGAGGACUGGAGAGGAGACUGGAAUUUAUGGUGUAGCGGUGAAAUGCGUAGAGAUCAUGAGGAAGACCAGUGGCGAAGGCGGGUCUCUGGACAGUUCCUGACGCUGAGACAGAAGGCCAGGGGAGCAAACGGG